AUCAGCCUUGGGGUCAGAUAUUGAAGUAAAGACCUAGAGGAUCAUUUGUUCAGCUUCUCACAGAUGUAACUGCAGGAAAGAUGCCCAGAUGUGGGAUUGCUGGGUCCAAGGGCCACUGAACCUGUCAUUUUGGCUGGUAGCGCCAGAUACCAC